UACGUAGGGACCAAGCGUUGUUCGGAUUUACUGGGCGUAAAGGGCGCGUAGGCGGCGUGUCAAGUCAAUUGUGAAAUCUCCGGGCUUAACUCGGAACGGUCAAUUGAUACUGAUGUGCUAGAGUGCAGAAGGGGCAAUCGGAAUUCUUGGUGUAGCGGUGAAAUGCGUAGAUAUCAAGAGGAACACCUGAGGUGAAGACGGGUUGCUGGGCUGACACUGACGCUGAGGCGCGAAAGCCAGGGGAGCGAACGGG
rnacentral:rRNA from 1 species